UACAGUAAUACUCUAAUACUUAAUUUAUAAUUAUAAAAUUCAAGAGUAUGAAAGAAAAUAAAGUAAAAUUUAGCACUUAAUACUUAUUGAAUUGUACAUCUGAUAAAACCUCGCAUAUACGUAUAUACUCAGUUCCCAAUUUCAAAUCAAAUCAAUGAUCGUGCCUAUAUAAACAAUUUUGCUAAAUUGAAUUUAAAAUCUGUGACCAUUUCUACAUAUUAAUUCCAAAAAAAAUCAUCUAUAAAUUACGGCGAGCCGAUAAAUCAGUACCUGAAGAAACCAAGCCAAAAAGGGGGUACCUGAAAUUCUGAGUCUCUCCGACUGGCAGCAGGGCCCACCUGGUCUGAAUGGGGCUCCGUUGUUGGUAGCUAUACGUUUGGGCCAAAAGGGCAGCAGCAGAUCAACCAGUUAGGAGGCCUCCAGAAUGUCUAGCAGGUAGGGAAAGGCAAUCUGUAUUAGGUGUAGCCGAUUGGAAGGAAUGCAGGUUCCGGAGGUGAUGAUCCAAGCGACUUAAUGUGGUAACACGUAGAAUAGCAAGUAAGGUGGAAGCAGUGACAAUAAAAAGUGCAGCAAAAACAGAAGCACAGGACAAGCAGAAGGUACAGGAAGGCCUAAAAAUGGGGACCACACAUGAGGUUCGGCAUGGCUGUCAGUUUUAUGGCAUUUUUGUGUGGGUUGUUACAGGUUAAAAUUGGCAUUUUAUACUCUUUAUUAAAAGCACUGAUUACAGUUAUAUUUUCAAAAUAGAUAUUUUACAAAUAUUAAUGAUUGCUACUAGUAAUGCCCUCUCUGUAAUAGCCUCCCAAGUAACCCAUAGUUCUGUUCUCUAGCCAUUUCAAAUUACAGUAUUCUUUUUUUUUAAGGACACAUUUAGUUUUGUACAUUUCAGCUUCAUAUUGUACUGGUUGUUAAUGAAAUUUUAUUUAUACUCUUAUAAAACCCGGUUCUGGACUAAAGAAAUAUUUUAGAAUUUAAAUUAUAUCCCAUAUUGAUUAUUUAAUUAUUUUAUAACGAAUAAUGAUUAAUUGGGCAUGUACAAUUAUUGUGUAUGUUGUACUGUUCAUAGUACAAUAUCUGAUUUUGGCUUGACCAUACCAGAUAUGCUGGUUGAUUUUACUCGGACUGACCUAUCUAAUUUUUGUCUCUUUUUAUCUAAUGUAAAUAUUAGUUUUCUUGGAAGAUAGCAAGAAGUUGCUGGUCUAGGCAAAAUCGAAAUUGAUUGUCAUAGUGACACAUAUUUUUAUUGCCAACUUCCUUGGGCCACAAAUUUUGUUAUUUAUUUUUUAUAAAAGGUUUUAUGGUACUUAUAAAAAAAGUUAAGUUAUUUUGUUAUAUAUUUCGAUUGGCAAUACACUUUGUGCGUGAUUGCUUAAAUACGGGUUUGACCUCUGCGGUCGUCCCUUUUCCCAGACCGCCGUCAUGAAGUGAAGAGUGCUUUAGUUCUUUUUGAAAUUCGUGUGAAUUUUACCCAUAUGGGGAUAUAAUUGACUAAAUGUGGUGAUAGUAAAUCAACUUUUUGGGCGUAAUGCUAUAAUUUGUUGUUUUGUUGAAUUUACUGGCCUUUAUGGCGAUUUAAAACCUAAUAAUUUUUCACGUGCCCUCGAACAUCGGCAAAAUAGCGGUUCUGAUUGGCAUUGGCAGGGGACAAUUUAAUUAGCAAAGCUACAUAACAUGGAUUUUGGACGGAUUUUUUUUGUACGGGCCUGAUUUCUUCAUGCCACAUGGUGCUUUCGUUUUGGGGUUAUGUACUCUACUGGCUCUAAUCUAGAAGGAGAUUUUAAGCAACUGUGAGCUAACGUCUAACCUAGACCACUACCAGAGCUUGGCGUAUUGUGAAGUGGAAAAGGUGAAGCUUGGAAGCCUGCAUUUUUCUUUGACUGGGAAUUGGAUGUCUGGGAGAGUCUCGAAUCUGAAGUAGUCUGCUGUGUGUGGAGCUAGGUGACACAACAUAACAUUUUUUUUUUAUUCACUUAUUUUAUUUUUAUUAUCACAACUUUUAUCUUUUGAGUUGAGAUACAUACAUAAGCUUAUUUAAAAUUUUAUUGACAUUAUUUAAUCGAUGCGAUUUUAUUAUUGAAUAUUACUGAUAUGAGUACAUAUAUAUGUGACAAGUGACUCCUGUGAGGUAAGACGCAGCCGGCUUCGUAGUACUACGAGUAUAUACUUGGGUUAUAUUAUUUAUUUUCAGACUACUCCUAAGAUGUCAAAUUUGCUCAGAUUAGCUAGUAAAUAUUAGAGUAAACUAAUAAAAAGGGUAAUUUUAAGUGGGGAAGCUUCAACAGUUAGGGUUGUUAUUUUUUUUUUUGCUUAGGUCAAUGUCCGUGGCGGGAUAUACCGGGCCAUGUAAGUUAUUAGUUUAAUUGAAUUGAAGCUUCAUUCCCCAAAAGGUUUGGGUGUAACUUAAUUUAUUUUUAUUUUGACAACCACACUUUGAUUGUGUAUUUUUUUUUUGUGUGAUGUUGUGGUUCCUUAUUACCAACUUAAAUAAUUAUUCCUCUUAAUGAUAAAUAACAUAACAUAAUUCUCUGUGAUAAUCAAGACUUAAAUAAAUUGUUAUUUUCUGUUGUUAAUUUGUUUUUCACCUGAGUUGAGUAGGUUGGAAUAUCAUAGGUAAUUUGGAAACAAUAGUGUAUACUGAUUUGACUUUGAUUUUGUUUUCCAAGUUUCGUUUUGAACUUGCCUAAAUAAAUUUUGAUAAAUAUUGGGCGUCCUUUGGGAUUAUAUAAAAUCCAAAACUUGGUGGCGCCAUACUGAUUUUGACAUUUAGUUGGGUAACUCUUGGGUAGUUACUACCUAAGAAAUUUUGGUUCAUUUGGUUGAGAAAGAAGCUAGAACCCACAUCGGCUUGAGCUAGCAGCAUUGUGAAGGAUUCCUUCUCUGGGCGUUUCAGGUAAGAGGGGUUAAGUUCCUCUGGGCAUCAAACAACUUUUGGAGACCCUCUUAAGGCCAUAAACCUUUCACUAUUUUUAGUACUUCUUUUCUUUUGAUUAACUUGGCAUUCAUCGCUUUACCACCAUCAUUCCAUUUUAUUGCACUUUAGAAAAAAAAUAUAUAACAGGGUAAGUAAGUUAAAUUUUAUAAAAUUGCUUUCUGGAAAGUUGGAUGCAUUGAUGUUCUUUUGAAUUAAACCGAAAAGCGUGCAAAUAAGAAAUUAAUUAAAUGAAAGAAAAAAUAGGAAAAUGACUUAGGAAUGUGACAUGUACUAACUUACCGAAGAUGGAAUGUCGCCUUUUCUGGGAUUUGUUCAACACAAAAAAACAAGGAGCCCUAUAAACUCUUAGGUCUACUUAGUAAAUCAGCAAUUAAGCCAUUCUAGCACAUACUAGAAACUACUAAAAAAAAUUAGGCUAAGAUAGGGUCUACCUUUUCACAUCCGCAUUAAGCGAAACUGUCUGUCAUACUCUAGAACCAGAUAAACAAUGAAUCUAUUAAAAAUAGGAUUGUCAGUCUCCCCCAGAUUUUAAGGAAUGCACUUAUCUGUCAAGUACCUAGGUGUUGACAUGCUGGGUUUAACUACUGGAUACUAUCUGGUACCAACAUUGGUUUAAGUAAUUUGCAACUAUGGAGCAACUUAUAACUUGAGGCCAUGGUUUAGCAAUAAUGAUUUAAAAAAAACUGACAGACCAGAUUGACAUUACCAUUCUUAUCGCUAUUGAUCCCCAUGAUUUGAACAAAAUAAACAAAUAAUUAAUAUGUGCUCAGUAUUCAUUAAAAUCUAAAAUAGGUCAAAUUGACCUGCAAGGUAAAAUCAAUGGCGGUUCUUCCUGCUAUUGAAUCAACAAAACUAUGAAACAAUAUCCCAUAUUAUUAUUUACUUUCCUUAUACAAUAAUGGUUUUCCUUCGGUUUCAGAUCGGGUAUGUUAGGAGGGACCAUCUUAACGAUGUCUCAUCAUAUCUGUAUAGUAUAUAUACUUAUAUAUGGUUUUUAAAUAAAUUAUUUAAUGAAA